rnacentral:rRNA from 1 species
UACGAAGGGGGCUAGCGUUGUUCGGAAUCAUUGGGCGUAAAGCGCACGUAGGCGGACUCUUAAGUCGGUGGUGAAAUCCUGGAGCUCAACUCCAGAACUGCCUUCGAUACUGAGAGUCUCGAGUCCGAGAGAGGUGAGUGGAACUGCGAGUGUAGAGGUGAAUUCGUAGAUAUUCGCAAGAACACCAGUGGCGAAGGCGGCUCACUGGCUCGGACUGACGCUGAGGUGCGAAAGCGUGGGGAGCAAACAGG